rnacentral:rRNA from 1 species
GCACGGUAAACGAUGGAUGCUCGCUGUGUGCCUUCGGGUACGUGGCCAAGCGAAAGCAUUAAGCAUCCCACCUGGGGAGUACGCCGGCAACGGUGAAACUCAAAGGAAUUGACGGGGGCCCGCACAAGCGGAGGAACAUGUGGUUUAAUUCGAUGAUACGCGGGGAACCUUACCCGGGCUUGAACUGCAGGUGAACGAUUCAGAGAUGAUGAGGUCCUUCGGGACACCUGUGGAGGUGCUGCAUGGUUGUCGUCAGCUCGUGCCGUGAGGUGUCGGCUUAAGUGCCAUAACGAGCGCAACCCCUGUCGUUAGUUGCCAUCACUUCGGGUGGGCACUCUGGCGAUACUGCCACCGUAAGGUGUGAGGAAGGUGGGGAUGACGUCAAAUCAGCACGGCCCUUACGUCCGGGGCUACACACGUGUUACAAUGGCGUGUACAGAGAGUUGGUCCAUGGCAACAUGGGUCUAAUCAGUAAAACACGUCUCAGUUCGGAUUGGGGUCUGCAACCCGACCCCAUGAAGCUGGAUUCGCUAGUAAUCGCGCAUCAGCCAUGGCGCGGUGAAUACGUUCCCGGGCCUUGUACACACCGCCCGUCAAGCCAUGAAAGCCGGGGGCGCCUGAAGUCCGUGACCGCAAGGAUCGGCCUAGGGCGAAACUGGUAAUUGGGGCU